CCAGUGCCUGGCAAUCCAUGGCUCUGCGCAGAGCCGUUGUGUGGUUUUUAGAGGUUAUUUUGGUGCUCUGUGGUCCAUCUGGAAGGCACUCUGUUAUUAUUUCGGCACCAUUUCAGGCUGCUUUGAGGUUAUUUUGGGAUCAUUUAGUGCCAUUUUGGGAUUGUUUCAGAGUCAUUUUGGUGCCAUUUGGGCCAGUUGGAGCUAGACUGUCUGCGGGUAGUCUGGGCCUUUUGGGGACUGCUCUGGUGCCAUUUUGGGCUGCACUGUGGUCGUUUUGGGGGUUCUUUUGGGGUAAUAGUAUAGACAAAGCCGCAGUGCAGCAGCUGACGGUGACGCGGCCCUGGCGGUCCCUGUGUGUCCCGCCGCACUGUGCGACGUCCUGAAUGGACGCGGAGGGUAGGAAAGCAGCAGGCAGGGGCGGCUCGAGGAGGGGGCGUGGCUUGAAGAGUCCCCGCCCCCCGCUCAAUAUAAAUCGAAGCGGCGGCAGGUCUAAGCGGGAGUGUGUCCCGCGGGGGCGGCCAUGGCGGUGAUGUGCUGCCUCCUGCUGCUGCUGUGCGGCGCUGCGCUGGGACCCGCCGUGCACCUCGACUUCACCGAGCACCGCAGCCAGGCGGCCAAGAUCAAGGUCAACCCCCGCGGCAACCUCUGGGCCACAGGUCACUUCAUGGGGAAGAAGAGCGUGCCCGGCACCCCGCGUCUGGAUGAACUGCGGCAGCCGGCCGUGCCGAUGGCUUUCGGCCCUUCGCUCAGAGCUUUGCUGGAGGACGUGGUGGAACUGCUUACCCGGGAGCUCCUGAAAAUCCUCUUGCAAGAAAGACUUUUGGAUGAGAACCAAAGAAAAUACGAUCUCACUGACGAGCAGGAAGUAAUGGAGACCCUAGAAGAGAUGAAAUCCUCAUAGGUGUGUCCUAUGUGCGCUCCCACUGAGCUGCCAUGCUUGAGGAGCCAUUCAGUAGCUGAACACAGAUUUAGGUAAACUGAGGAUCUCCUUGGGACAGAAGAUACAGCCGGAGAUGGAGCCAGAGCUAGAACCCAGUGCUGGACAUCAGCCUUUGGAGACUGGGCUUUUAACAAAGGUGCUGGAGAAGUAUUUUUCAAACUGAAGAAGCGCAGCAGUGAAGGAUGAGGUCGGCAGGCUAAGCUGUGCAUGGCAAAUGAAGGAGAGCAUCAUCCUUGUGGGUUACUGUAGCAACAUCACUUUUAUUUAUUUUUUCUGUAAUACUGUUAAUAGUGAUUGCUUGUAUGAAAAGCAGAUCCUCCCUGUAUAUUUCCUGUAUGUUUUCUGCUUCCUUGAUGUCUGAUGUGCCCCUGUGAAUAAAACCAGCUCUUUGCAGAUGCUAGCUCAGACUUUUUC